rnacentral:rRNA from 1 species
UUAAAUUGAAGAGUUUGAUCAUGGCUCAGAUUGAACGCUGGCGGCAGGCCUAACACAUGCAAGUCGAACGGUAACAGAAAGCAGCUUGCUGCUUUGCUGACGAGUGGCGGACGGGUGAGUAAUGUCUGGGAAACUGCCUGAUGGAGGGGGAUAAC